GUGACAGUUUGGAAGCCAUGUUCCUUAACUACGUCUUUCCCUAUACCUACCAGGAAUUUUAGAUUUACUAAGAACACAGUGAAAUUCAGAAGGAUGGAUACCAGGGGAAGGCCUCCAUACAUAUCUUUGUCCACACAUCAAACAAUGAGCAAAAUUUAUACACACACUGAGAGAACCAACUGUCUGAACCCUGGGCAAAGGAAAACAAGUUGUUUAUACAGCACAGUUUGUGAAGGUAUCAUGAAGGUCACAGGCUCGGAGGUGCACCUUUAAUUUAACGGAGCUGAG